AGAUGGGUCUAUGAAAGAUGAGUGAAUCAUAGAAUUGAUGAGGGGAAAAGGGUGAGCGGUGCACUUAGGAGUCUGUGGAGACAAAGAACUUUGUCCUUGGAGGCAAAGAGGGGAAUGUACGAGAGUAUAGUUUUACCAACGCUCUUAUAUGGGUGUGAAGCAUGGGUGAUGAAUGUUGCAGCGAGGAGAAGGCUGGAGGCAGUGGAGAUGUCAUGUCUGAGAGCAAUGUGUGGUGUGAAUAUAAUGCAGAGAAUUCGUAGUUUGGAAGUUAGGAGGAGGUGCGGGAUUACCAAAACUGUUGUCCAGAGGGCGGAGGAAGGGUUGUUGAGGUGGUUCGGACAUGUAGUGGAAGGAAGGCGGGGUAGGGGUCGGCCUAGGAAAGGUUGGAGGGAGAGGGUAAAGGAGGUUUUGUGUGCGAGGGGCUUGGACUUCCAGCAGGCAUGCGUGAGCGUGUUUGAUAGGAGUGAAUGGAGACAAAUGGUUUUUAAUACUUGACGUGCUGUUGGAGUGUGAGCAAAGUAACAUUUAUGAAGGGGUUCAGGGAAACCGGCAGGCCGGACUUGAGUCCUGGAGAUGGGAAGUACAGUGCCUGCACUCUGAAGGAGGGGUGUUAAUGUUGCAGUUUAAAAACUGUAGUGUAAAGCACCCUUCUGGCAAGACAGUGAUGGAGUGAAUGAUGGUGAAAGUUUUUCUUUUUCGGGCCACCCUGCCUUGGUGGUAAUCGGCCUGUGGGAUAAUAAAAAAUAUAUAAUUGUUAAUAAAUUUAAAUAAACAUAUAAAAUAACAUUUUUACUUACCUUCAUUGAAGAUUGGUGAUGGCAUCUGGAAGAUAGGGAGAAGAGAGGGAGUUGGGGUUAGUGUUUGGAAGGUAAAUCCCCCUCCAUAAGGACUUAAGGUAUCAAAGCCCUCUCUGGGGUUACUUCCCUUCUCUGUCUUUUAAUGCCACUAGGACCAGCUUGAGUCACUGGACCUCUGUCUCAUAAAAUAACUGUCCACAGUCCUCUGUUUCUGAUGCCUCUUUAAGAUUUUCCUAAAAUGGGACAUUGUUCUGUCACUUAACUUGUUGCAAAGAUUUCUUGUUUCAGCUUGCUUAGGGUGGUACUUCUGCACAAACAUUUGGACAUCAUUCCACUUGGCGCGAAUCUCCUUAACCCUUUCAGGGUUGGUGCCGUACUAGUACGGCUUGCACGCCAGGGUUGGUGCCGUACUAGUACGCAUAAAUUCUAGCGCCUUCAAAUCUAGCGAGAGAAAGUUGGUGGGCAUACAUAUGAAAGAAUGGGUCUAUGUGGUCAGUGUGUGCAAUAUAAAAAAAUUCCUGCAGCACACAGUGCAUAAUGAGAAAAAAAAACACUGACCGUGUUUUUGGUUUAAAACAGCGACUUUGCAGUGUAUUUUCUUAUGCUAUUUAUGGUUGAAUUCUAGUUUUCCUGGUCUCAUUUUAUAGAAUGGAAGACAUAUUACGGAAAUAGAGAUGAUUUUGAUUGGUUUUACAAUGAAAAAGUACCUUGAAAUUAAGCUCAAAGUAGCAUAAAUGUUCGAUUUUUGCCAAAGUUCAAAAGUAAACAAAUCAUGCCACACAUUCAGUACAUGUCAACUGUUGAGUCUAAUAUUCUUUCACAAGUGCACUGAUAUUAUUUAUACCAUUUCUACACUAAUGCAGUAGUCUGCAUAACAGUAAAUCUCCUAUUUUAGGCGAGAAUAAAAAUUCAAAGUGGAAAGCAAAAGAAAUGUAACAGAGGCCUGGGUACAUGACUAAUGAAGAGAGGAAAUGUUAUUUUAGUGCCAGGAAUGUCUGUCUUGUUUAUUCUGAACCCUAUUUGUAAAUUGGCUCUUUUGAAAUUUGUGUGAAAUUGGCAAAAUUGCCAAUUUCUGACCACUUUAUUGGAUAGUUGAAAUGUGUAAAUGGGUGGUUUCUUGUACUCAUUCGAUAGAAAAAAUGAAGUUCUAGCAAAAUAGUUAUGAUUUUUGUCAACUGGUACAUUGGAAGUGGGCGAAAUCGCUGAUGCAUAAACAUCAUGUGUUGUGGCAUACUGUUAGCUGAAUGAUGAGCUUUUUAUUGAGUUGGGGCCUUCUUUAUGUGGAAGUAAAAUAGUAAUUUAAAAAUUAACAUUUUUGUGGCAAAGUUGUGUGAAACAUACAGGAACUCAAUACACUUUGAACAAAUGACCAUGUACUUGAGGUAAAUGUAAUUGAUAGUAUAAAAGAUUUUAGAACAAAUUAAUAAAAAAAAUAUAUGAGGAUUGUAUCAGAAGACCCAUAAGAACAUCUGGCUCUAGCCUCAGCCAAAGCAAAGAUAUGAAACCUUGUAGAGUUUGUCACCUGACACACAUUCUCAUGAUUAGUAGAUAAGAGAGAGGGAAUUGAGAGCCAUUAUAUUCCCUAAUAUAGUAGUACAUAUAUACAGUACUAAUAUGAACUAUGAAAAAGUUACACCAUUCACACAUGUGGAGUCAACAGUUGCAUUCAGAUACUUGUAGGUGAAGAGAGGAGAGAGAGCAUAUGUCAUAUACUUAUCCUUCCUCACCUUAUUAGAUCUCCAAAUAAUGGGUGUGCCAUGAGAGAGGCGUUGGAUUGAACAGUACGCUGCCACCUUCAACACUGUAUAAGACAGAUAGGAAGACACAGAGGACACAUCACAACCUCGCUUUCCUGUGACUUUGAUGAAGGGGUCUAGACGCCAG